CGGGAAAUAGCUCAACUUGGUAGAGCACUUGGUUCGGGACCAAGAGGUUGCAGGUUCAAAUCCUGUUUUUCCGACCA
rnacentral:tRNA from 2 species